GUAGGUGGCAAGCGUUGUCCGGAAUUAUUGGGGCGUAAAGCGCGCGCAGGCGGUUCGUUUAAGUCUGAUGUGAAAGCCCACGGGCUCAACCGUGGAGGGUCAUUGGAAACUGGAGAACUUGAGUACAGAAGAGGAAAGCGGAAUUCCACGUGUAGCGGUGAAAUGCGUAGAGAUGUGGAGGAACACCAGUGGCGAAGGCGGCUUUCUGGUCUGUAACUGACGCUGAGGCGCGAAAGCGUGGGGAGCAAACAGGAUUAGAUACCCUGGUAGUCCACGCCGUAAACGAUGAGUGCUAAGUGUUUACGGGGGGUUUCCGCCCCUUAGUGCUGCAGCUAACGCAUUAAGCACUCCGCCUGGGGGAGUACGGCCGCAAAGGCUG
rnacentral:rRNA from 1 species